rnacentral:rRNA from 1 species
AUUGAACGCUGGCGGCAGGCCUAACACAUGCAAGUCGAGCGGUAGAGAGGAGCUUGCUUCUCUUGAGAGCGGCGGACGGGUGAGUAAUGCCUAGGAAUCUGCCUGGUAGUGGGGGAUAACGUUCGGAAACGGACGCUAAUACCGCAUACGUCCUACGGGAGAAAGUGGGGGAUCUUCGGACCUCACGCUAUCAGAUGAGCCUAGGUCGGAUUAGAUAGUUGGUGAGGUAAAGGCUCACCAAGGCGACGAUCCGUAACUGGUCUGAGAGGAUGAUCAGUCACACUGGAACUGAGACACGGUCCAGACUCCUACGGGAGGCAGCAGUGGGGAAUAUUGGACAAUGGGCGCAAGCCUGAUCCAGCCAUGCCGCGUGUGUGAAGAAGGUCUUCAGAUUGUAAAGCACUUUAAGUUGGGAGGAAGGUCAGUAGCUUAAUACGUUGCUGAUUUGACGUUACCGACAGAAUAAGCACCGGCUAACUCUGUGCCAGCCGCCGCGGUAAGAC